AGAGUAAGCUGGGCAGCCGCGCGGCGUGAAAACCGCCGUGAGGAAAGUCCGAGCUCCACAGGGCGGGAUGCCGGGCAAUACCCGGUGGAGGCGACUCCAAGGAAAGUGCAAUAGAAAUAAACCGCCGUUGAUAAAACGGUAAGGGUGGAAAGGCGAGGUAAAAGCUCACCGCCUCUCCGGCGACGGAGAGGGCUCUGUAAACCCCAUCCGGAGCAAGAUCAUAUGAAAGCGAUAAGGCGGCCCGUCUUGCUUUCAGGUGGAUCGCGCGAGCGCGUCCGGCAACGGCGUGCCUAGAUAGAUGGCUGUCCUCGACAGAAUUCGGCUUAUAGGCCUGCUCACCAA
rnacentral:RNase_P_RNA from 1 species